rnacentral:rRNA from 1 species
CCCGCACAAGCGGUGGAGCAUGUGGUUUAAUUCGACGCAACGCGAAGAACCUUACCAGGGCUUGACACUCCCCUGACCGCGUAUGAAAGUACGUUUUCACCCUCGGGUGACAGGGAGACAGGUGGUGCAUGGUUGUCGUCAGCUCGUGUCGUGAGAUGUUGGGUUAAGUCCCGCAACGAGCGCAACCCCUACGUUUAGUUGCUAACGCGUGAAGGCGAGCACUCUAGACGAACUGCCGUUGACAAAACGGAGGAAGGUGGGAUGACGUCAAAUCAUCAUGCCCCUUAUGUUCUGGGCUACACACGUGCUACAAUGGCCGGUACAGACGGACGCAAAGCCGCGAGGUGGAGCAAAUCCUAAAAAGCCGGUCUCAGUUCGGAUUGCAGGCUGCAAUUCGCCUGCAUGAAGUCGGAAUCGCUAGUAAUCGUGGAUCAGCAUGCCACGGUGAAUACGUUCCCGGGCCUU